AUGGGACUAGUGGCAAUGUUUUGUCACCUCCUAUGGAUGUGUUACAAAUUGAUUUUCAUUACUAUUCCGGAUUACAUAUACCUUUUACUAAAUAUUUAUGAUGGUUUUCAGUGGAUGAAAGUGGAAAUGGGUAGGGCUCUAUCCUACAUUCCCGUGGCUGCAGGUGUGGUUUUCUUGGCGCUACAACUUUAUUAUGCACUGAAAAGAUGUGUUAAACUAAUUAUUGGGGAAAAGACUCGGGAAACAGAUGCUGAUUUAAAGCUAAUGAUUUUGAUAUUGAAAGAAGAGAUAGCACAACUCAGAGUUAAGCUAACAGAAGUGACUGGAGAGUUAGAGAAUUUAAAAAAUGGCAAAGCUGAACAGCAGGAGACUCCUGCUGAUAAAAAUGAAAUCAGAGAGGCUCAGGAAGACAGCAAUGUGGCAAUAACAGUGCUUCCAUUAAGUGACAUUACCAGUCUUGAGCCAGACCAGGGAAUAAUAGACAUAAAAACGCAGGAAACAUUUACAACCGGGAAUCUAGAACACUUAAGGAAGAGAAUUCCCAGAUUUUUUGAGGAACCAAUGAAGUGCAUAAAAGAAUUCCGCCGUGCAAUCAAAUUAUUCGAUCCCUCAUUCGAAGACACCGAGCUUCUUCUUUCCGAACUUUUUUCCAAAGGAGAAAAAGAACAAUUUAUCGAUGAGACUAGGAACAACCCAAAUUUAAUUUCAUGGCCUGAGGAUGGGCAUAAUUUAGAACUUUCUAGUGUCCAAAAUUUAAGAUUCCUAGAUCAGGCCAGACAAAGUCUCAUUGAAGCCAUGAAAAAUUUUGCUAUGAGACCCGAUACGUGGGGGAGAUUUGAAAAGCUCAAGCAGGAAGCAGGGGAACAUCCUUCCACAUUUUUAGAUCGUGUUGUGGAAAUGGGGGAGAACCUUCUUGGAUUUACAGAUUUAUCUGAGGCUAAUUUACAGCACAUAAGAAGACAGUUCGUUAAAGGCAGCUGUGUACCGGUCAAGACAUAUUUUAGGAUGUAUUGCCCAGGGUGGGAGACUCUAAGCCUUGAAGAUUUGAGAACAACAGCUACCUGUGUAUUUACUGGGGAGAAAGAACAUAAACUUGAACAAAGGGAUGAGCUCAUACAGGAGUUAAGAACACAGCUCAAAGAAGCCAAUAACAAGCUUAGGCAAAAAGAAAUAGAAGAAGUAAAAAACUUAGCAACACUACAAUUAUACAGACCUAGAACAGAAUUUGCACAAAGACCCAAUCAAUCCCGAUGUUUCCUAUGUGGCAAAAUUGGGCACUUUGUCAGAAACUGCAGACUGAAAGCCCAAAUUGACCAAGGGAACAACAGAAAGGGAAAUUGGAAAAGUGAUGCACAUUUCAACAACACACAACAACAUGGGCAGUGCUGUUCUCAUGUAUGCAGCAGUAACUCCAGAAGCCAAGCACCAGAUCUAAAUACAAUGAAGAGGUUCAUCCAAGAAGGCGCUAGGCCUAAGUACUCCUCUAUCACUGUUGGGUCUGUAAAACAAAGUCAGUUAUGA
rnacentral:lncRNA from 1 species